rnacentral:rRNA from 1 species
AAUAGAUACCCGGGUAGUCCACGCCGUAAACGAUGAGUGCUAAGUGUUAGAGGGUUUCCGCCCUUUAGUGCUGCAGCUAACGCAUUAAGCACUCCGCCUGGGGAGUACGGUCGCAAGACUGAAACUCAAAGGAAUUGACGGGGGCCCGCACAAGCGGUGGAGCAUGUGGUUUAAUUCGAAGCAACGCGAAGAACCUUACCAGGUCUUGACAUCCUCUGACAACUCUAGAGAUAGAGCGUUCCCCUUCGGGGGACAGAGUGACAGGUGGUGCAUGGUUGUCGUCAGCUCGUGUCGUGAGAUGUUGGGUUAAGUCCCGCAACGAGCGCAACCCUUGAUCUUAGUUGCCAGCAUUUAAUUGGGCACUCUAAGGUGACUGCCGGUGACAAACCGGAGGAAGGUGGGGAUGACGUCAAAUCAUCAUGCCCCUUAUGACCUGGGCUACACACGUGCUACAAUGGAUGGUACAAAGGGCUGCAAGACCGCGAGGUCAAGCCAAUCCCAUAAAACCAUUCUCAGUUCGGA